rnacentral:rRNA from 1 species
GUGUCAGCAGCCGCGGUAAUACGUAGGGACCGAGCGUUGUCCGGAUUCAUUGGGCGUAAAGAGCUCGUAGGCGGCCACUCAAGUCGAACGUGAAAACUCGGGGCUCAACCCCGAGCCCGCGUUCGAUACUGGGCGGCUAGAGUCUGGUAGGGGGAUCUGGAAUUCCUGGUGUAGCGGUGGAAUGCGCAGAUAUCAGGAGGAACACCGGUGGCGAAGGCGGGAUCCUGGGCCAGUACUGACGCUGAGGAGCGAAAGCGUGGGGAGCAAACAGGAUUAGAUACCCCCGUAGUCC